GGCCAAAUCACGUUGAAACACCGGUUUCCGUACGAUCACCGAAGUUAAGCAAUGUCAAAACUGCUCAGUACUUAGAUGGGUGACCGCUUAGGAAUACCCGAUGCUGUA